AUUAUGUAGUAAUUCUCUGUAUUCCUAAUAAUGUCUUUUCUCAUAAAAUAUGCUUUAUAUGAUAAUAAUCUAGCCACUCCAAUGUUAAUUUAGUUUGAUUUUGCCUAACUUACUUUUUUCCAUGUCUUUACCUUGAGUCUUUAGGUAUGCCACUUAUAAAUAUAACUAAAAUCCAAUCUGACCAUCUCUAUCUUUCAACUGAAGUGUUUAAUCCAUUUGUAUUUAUUGUGAUUAUUGCAGGAGGACAAGUCCUUGAAUGACCUUGGCUGAUUCAGCUCUCCCUGCUCCUUCUUACAAUUCUUGGGCAGAAUGUACUGAGAAUGUAACAUCCUGGGAUAAGGAAGAACCAUCUAGAACAGCCUGGGCUUUGUCUUUGUUCCUCUCAGAACAAGAUUCCCCUCUGGGAUCAUUUUCUUUCUAUCUGAAGUAUAUUUUUAGAAGUUCUUCAGAAAAGAACUGUUGAAAUUAGUAAAGAGAUUUUCAGAAGACUUGUUAGAAGAAGUCAGUGAUUGUGGAUGGGACUGAGAAUUUCUGCUUUAGUGGAGCCAACUCUCUCUUGGUUGAGACCAGGGAAGUGGCCCAGCACAAGAGAGCUUCUGCACUCCAAGAGCUAGCUUCAUUGCUUUUGGAAAAGAUUCAACGUGUCAAACAGCUAAAUGAUAACUUUCUCUCCUGAACUGAUAUGCGUGAUUUUGGUGGUUCCUUAGUUCUUACAUGGGCUACCUUGGUAGGGGGUAUUUUUCAUCUAUUUGAUUACUUCUUUGUAAAGUUAACUCUCUCAGCUUUAUGCAUGGGAGGACACAGAGGAGAAAAGUAAACCUCCAAGGACAAGAUGCUUUUCACCUUGAAAAUUGUUUGUCAUGAAUGUAUUUACUGGCCAUGGUUCUUUCUUUGGAAAAUCCUUAUAAUGAACUCAAAAUGGCAGGGCUGUAUUUUGGUUAUUGUUCCCAAGAAAUGGUUUUUAGCCACUAGACCACUUUCUGCACUGGGUUUCUUGCCCCCUUGCCCUGUACCAUAAGGCAGUCUGGUUGCUUCAGCAGGAAGGCUCGGCUGCAUGGUAGUUGGGUGGUCUCUGAAGAGAGCUCCUUUUGUUUUCCUGAUGGACCCAGGGCCAAUGUGCCGCAGCCCUCGUGAAGCACAAAGUGCAAGGCUGUGGCUCCAAGAUGGAGUGUUUCUCCCUCUGCCUUUAAGAGAACACGGGGGUCAUAGAUAGCAUUGUACAGACGUGUACCUUGCCAGGGCUGCCAGGGGAAUGCAGGCUCAUGGGGAGGAUUGAGGGGACAGAGAUGUGUGUGUACAGAUUAGUGUGCCAUAGACUAAGCACAGCAGAGGCAAAGAAUGCCAUCUAAGCUCUUGUCGCUCGGAGUGUCCGAGGAUCAUCACCAUACAGGUCACCCAGGAGCUUAUUAGAAAUGCACAGUCUCAUGCCUCACCCCAGACCACAAAUCAGAACCCGCAUUCGAACCACAUUCCUAGGUGACUCCCAGGCACAUUAUAAUUCAAGAAGCUCUGCUGCUUUUACCUGCACCGAGGCCUCAGCCUUCAGACCACUCCAGGAAGCCACCUUUUCACAUCCCCACACCCCCACCCGACACUCUGUCACCUGGAUCUUGCCCAUUUCCUCCCUGGCAUGUCCCUUAGUCCCUUAGGUCUGCACAUCUGCCCUUCCUCAUUGGCCAGCUCUAGCACAGAUCACUGUGUUCACCUUGGCAGUCCCAAGUCCUUGCACACUGCCUGCCUGAGAGCAGGCUCCAAGCUGAAGGCUUCUCGAGUCAGUGGACGAAUGGAUACGUGAUCUACAUGGCAGAAAUAAAAGCCUGAAGUUUGCAGAAGGUUAGGUGUUUAUUUGCACUGCUUUUAUACUGUCUACCAGGUUAAAAAAAAAAAACAGAGACUC
rnacentral:lncRNA from 10 species